GACGAACGCUGGCGGCGUGCUUAACACAUGCAAGUCGAGCGAUGAAGCACCUUCGGGUGUGAAUUAGCGGCGAACGUGAGAGGAACACGUGAAGAAUCUGCCUUCAACUCUGGGAUAACUCCGGGAAACCGGGGCUAAUACCGGAUAUGAGCCUUGAUCGCAUGAUCGUGGCUGGAAAGUUUUUCGGUUGAAGAUGACUUCGCGGCCUAUCAGCUUGUUGGUGAGGUAAUGGCUCACCAAGGUGACGACGGGUAGCCGGCCUGAGAGGGCGACCGGCCACACUGGGACUGAGACACGGCCCAGACUCCUACGGGAGGCAGCAGUGGGGGAUAUUGGGCAAUGGAGGAAACUCUGACCCAGCGACGCCGCGUGAGGGAUGAAGGUCUUCGGGUUGUAAACCUCUUUCAGUAGGGAAGAAGCGAAAGUGACGGUACCUACAGAAGAAGCACCGGCUAACUAUGUGCCAGCAGCCGCCGUAA
rnacentral:rRNA from 1 species